ACAGCAGGGCACACCUGAAGAAGCUGGUCUUUUUGCCCUGGGAUGGAGCCGUGAUCCGCACCGCGUUACUGUCAGGGGUGUUGUUUCCUUCCUGCGUAGCACAAUGGACCGACAGUCGAAGGUCAUGGUGGUAAAAGGACCACACGUCACGAGUCACAGCAGGGCGGAAGAACUGGGGCAAAGGUCAUGGGGGGCCCCAUCUGAAAGCCCCUGGAACCUGAUAGUGGGUUCGAGAAGGGAGGCGCGGCCAGGGCGGAGCCAGGCCACGCUGCGAGGAUAAAAGGGGUCGAGAGCGGG